GGGCGCUGUUCAUCCUGUGGUGCUGAAGCAGCCAAGAGUCACAAGCCUGCCUGGCUACCUCUUAGGAUAUGACAGCAGAGCCAGUGGCCUCUACUGGAUCCUGUACAACUUCACAAAACACCCAGACACCGGGAGUGCUGCCAGCACGUGGUGCAACAGUUCUGAGGGAUCACAGUCUUGAAGACAUUGAAUGACAACGCUGUUACUGACGAGAUCACACCCAAGCGGAUCGGAGAUUGGCCCAAUACUUACACCUACACCAAGGCUUUGGGAGAAAUGAUGGUGCAGCAGGAGAGCGGGAACCUAACCAUCGCCAUCAUAAGGCCCUCCAUUGUGGGAGCAACGUGGCAUAAGCCUUUCCCAAUGCAGCAUUACGUGGAAAGAAGCUAAAGCUGGGCGGUUCCAAGAUGGCCGAAUAGGAACAGCUCUAGGCUACAACUCCCAGCGUGAGCGACACAGAAGACGGGUGAUUUCUGCAUUUCCAACUGAGGUACCGGGUUCAUCUCACUGGGGCGCAUUGGAUAGUGGAUGCUGGACAAUGGGUACAGUCUACCGAGCGAGAGCCGAAGCAGGGUGAGGUGUUGCCUCACCCAGGAAGUGCAAGGGGACCCACCCAAGAAGAGGCCAUGGCUUUGGAGCACCUGGUAGUGUGUUCACAGUGAAGACCAGAGUUUCAUUGUCCUCAAGACUGACCUGGGGAGAUGUGGCUGCGGGCUAGUGAGGAAGCUGUUCUCUUCCUACAAACUGAACGAAAAUGAAAAGGAAGUCAUUUCUGCAUGUGUCACAGAGGCAUCCUUUGGUUCUAAAGGGAGCUGAGUUGGAUUCCACAAGUGCGUGGUCCUUGUGGCAUAUGAAUAGGAUUCAGUCACGGACGAGAAGGAAGGGUUCAGGGGAGACUGUCAUCGCCCUGUCCAGGCUAACCCUCCAGCUGCCC